UACGAAGGGGGCUAGCGUUGCUCGGAUUCACUGGGCGUAAAGGGUGCGCAGGCGGCCGAGUGUGUGAGGCGUGAAAGCCCGGGGCUUAACCCCGGAAUUGCACCUCAAACUACACGGCUAGAGCAUUGGAGAGGGUAGCAGAAUUCAUGGUGUAGCAGUGAAAUGCGUAGAUAUCAUGAGGAAUACCAGAGGCGAAGGCGGCUACCUGGACAAUUGCUGACGCUCAGGCACGAAAGCGUGGGGAGCAAAAGGG
rnacentral:rRNA from 1 species